rnacentral:pre_miRNA from 1 species
ACAACAUCAGAACCGUCGGUCUACCGAGCAAUAUCACCCGCUCGGUGGAAGAUCUUUCCUUUCGUCGU